CUCCCGCCCCCUGCCUCGCCCAGGGCGCGCUCCCGGGAAGGGCCGGCUCGGGGCAGGGCGACAGCCGGCUAGGUCUGGCUGAGUGCUCGCGUCCUCCCAACUUCGGGGCGCCGGGGCGGCGGACCCCAGCCGAGAGAGCUAACGGCCUCGGUACCGCCCCCCGCCUCCCCUCGCCAGGCGCCCGCGGACCAUGUUCUCCAUCCCGCGGAGGUGGGGCGCCGGCAGCAGCUACGAGCGGGUCCCCGAGGGGCCCGAGGCGCAGAAAUGCAAUCCGGAGAAAAGUGCUUCAUUCUUCAGUAGGAUGACAUAUUCCUGGUUUAGCAGAAUAAUUGUUUUAGGCUAUAAGAAACCUUUGGAAAGAGAGGAUCUUGUUGAACUAAAUGAAAGUGAUUCUUCCUAUAUUGUGUGUCCCAUCUUUGAAAAACAAUGGAGGAAGGAAGUUUUAAGGAAUCAAGAGAGGCAAGAAGUAAAGGCAUCCUUUCAUAAAGAGGCACAUGCCAGGAAACCAUCUCUGGUCUAUGCAUUGUGGAACACCUUUAAGUUUGUCCUGAUUCAAGUUGCUUUAUUCAGAGUGUUUGCUGAUAUUUUGUCCUUCACUAGCCCACUCAUAAUGAAGCAAAUGAUCAUUUUCUGUGAACAUCGCCCAGAUUUUGGAUGGAGUGGCUAUGGUUAUGCUUUGGCACUUUUUGUUGUAGUCUUUCUGCAAACCUUGAUCCUUCAGCAAUACCAACGUUUUAACAUGCUCACUUCAGCAAAAAUUAAGACGGCCGUAAUUGGACUCAUCUACAAAAAGGCCCUACUUUUAUCUAAUGUUUCUCGAAAGAGGUUUUCAACUGGGGAAGUUAUUAACUUGAUGUCAGCGGAUGCCCAGCAGCUCAUGGACUUGACAGCAAACCUCAGUCUCCUCUGGUCAGCCCCUUUUCAGAUCCUGAUGGCCAUGUCACUCCUUUGGCAAGAGCUGGGUCCAGCUGUGUUAGCAGGGGUAGCAGUCCUUGUGUUUGUUAUACCAAUAAAUGCUUUAGCUGCAACUAGAGUAAAAAAGCUAAAGAAAAGCCAAACGAAGAACAAAGAUAAACAGAUAAAACUACUCAAUGAAAUCUUACAUGGAAUUAAGAUCCUCAAACUUUAUACAUGGGAGCCCUCCUAUAAAAAGAAGAUUGUUGAAAUUCGAGAGCAGGAAUUGGAAGUUCAAAAAUCAGCUGGGUAUCUUGCUGUAUUUUCUAUGCUGACAUUAACUUGCAUUCCAUUCUUGGUGUCCCUGGUGACAUUUGGCAUCUAUUUCUUAUUGGAUGAAGGAAACAUUUUAACAGCCACCAAAGUGUUCACAUCUAUGUCUUUGUUUAAUAUUUUGAGGCUUCCUUUGUUUGAUUUACCAAUGGUAAUCUCAGCUGUGGUCCAGACAAGAAUAUCAUUGAAUCGUUUGGAAGACUUUCUCAACACUGAGGAGCUUCAUCCUCAAAAUAUUGAAACAAACUACAUAGGAGAUCAUGCCAUUGGUUUUACAAAUGCUUCCUUCUCUUGGGAUAAAACAGGGAUUCCAGUACUAAAAAACUUGAACAUAAAGAUUCCAGAAGGAGCUUUAGUAGCUGUUGUAGGGCAGGUUGGAUCUGGAAAAUCAUCUGUGCUUUCUGCCAUUCUGGGGGAAAUGGAGAAACUUACAGGAGUUGUUCAAAGAAAGGGUUCUGUGGCUUAUGUUGCCCAGCAGGCCUGGAUUCAGAAUUGCAUUUUACAGGAAAACAUUCUCUUUGGCUCCAUCAUGCAGAAGCAGUUUUAUGAGCAAGUAUUGGAAGCCUGUGCCCUCCUUCCUGAUUUGGAGCAGUUACCAAAUGGAGAUCAAACUGAGAUUGGAGAAAGAGGUGUGAAUAUAAGUGGGGGCCAGAAGCACCGCGUAAGUCUGGCCAGAGCUGUGUAUAGUGGGGCUGACAUCUACCUCCUGGAUGAUCCCUUUGCUGCAGUUGAUGUCCAUGUUGGAAAGCAACUUUUUGAGAAAGUGAUUGGGUCCUCGGGUAUUUUGAAAAACAAGACUCGCAUUUUAGUGACACAUAACCUCACACUUCUGCCACAGAUGGAUCUGAUUGUUGUAAUGGAGAGUGGCAGAAUUGCACACAUGGGAACAUACCAGGAGCUGCUGUUGAAAACCAGAAACCUCACAAAUUUGCUUCAGGCCUUCAGUGAACGAGAAAAAGCUCAUGCUUUAAAGCGAGUCAGUGUAAUCAACUCCAGAACUAUACUGAAAGACCAAAUCUUGGAGCAAAAUGACAGGCCCUCACUGGAUCAAGGAAAACAGUUCUCAAUGAAAAAAGAAAAGAUCCCUAUUGGUGGGAUGAAGUUCUCAAUCAUUCUGAAGUACCUCCAAGCCUUUGGCUGGCUCUGGGUGUGGCUGAGUGUGGCUGCUUACCUCGGGCAGAAUUUGGUGGGCAUUGGACAGAAUCUAUGGCUUAGUGCCUGGGUAAAAGAAGCAAAACACAAGAAUGAGUUCAGAGAAUGGAAGCAAAUAAGAAGCAAUAAACUUAACAUCUAUGGAUUACUGGGAUUAAUGCAAGGUCUCUUUGUCUGCUCUGGAGCCUAUAUACUCACCAGAGGAUCCCUGUCUGCGUCUCGAACUUUGCAUACUCAGCUAUUGGAUAAUGUGCUACACCUCCCGCUCAGGUUUUUUGAAACGAAUCCCAUAGGUCAGAUCAUCAAUCGGUUCACUAAGGACAUGUUUAUAAUUGAUAUACGUUUCCAUUACUACUUACGGACCUGGCUGAAUUGCACAUUGGAUGUUAUUGGAACAGUUUUGGUCAUUGGGGGAGCUUUACCACUCUUCAUUCUGGGGGUUAUUCCCUUGGUGUUCCUCUAUUUCACUAUACAGAGAUACUAUGUGGCGAGUUCUCGGCAGAUUCGACGGUUGGCAGGAGCGUCUCGCUCUCCUAUCAUUUCACACUUUAGUGAGACUUUAUCAGGGGUGUCCACUAUCCGGGCAUUUGGACAUGAACAGAGGUUCAUCCAGCAAAACAAAGAGGUGGUGAAUGAGAACCUGGUCUGUUUCUACAAUAAUGUAAUUUCAAACAGGUGGCUGUCUGUUAGACUUGAAUUCCUUGGCAACUUAAUGGUAUUCUUUGCUGCAUUGCUUACUGUGCUGGCUGGCAAUUCUAUAGAUUCAGCAAUAGUUGGUUUGUCCAUAUCCUAUGCCCUAAAUAUUACUCAAUCUCUGAAUUUUUGGGUGAGGAAAGCUUGUGAAAUUGAAACCAAUGCAGUUUCCAUUGAAAGAGUUUGUGAAUAUGAAAAUAUGGAUAAAGAGGCACCCUGGAUAAUGUCUAAAAGACCUCCAUCACAAUGGCCCGAUAAAGGGAUAGUGGAAUUUAUUAAUUAUCAGGCUCGAUACCGAGAUGAUCUUGGUUUAGCAUUACAAGAUAUCACUUUCCGGACUCAUGGUGAAGAAAAGAUUGGAAUUGUGGGACGGACUGGAGCAGGCAAAUCAACGCUUUCAAAUUGUCUAUUUAGAAUUGUGGAAAGAUCAGGAGGCAAAAUUAUUAUCGAUGGUAUUGACAUAUCCACUAUUGGACUUCAUGACCUUCGGGGCAAACUUAAUAUUAUUCCACAGGAUCCUGUUUUAUUUUCUGGUACCCUUCAAAUGAACCUGGAUCCCCUAGACAAGUAUUCCGAUAGCGAGCUGUGGGAGGUGCUAGAACUGUGUCACUUAAAAGAGUUUGUGCAGUCCCUUCCCAAGAAGUUGCUGCAUGAGAUUACAGAGGGAGGUGAAAACCUCAGCGUUGGACAAAGGCAGCUUGUCUGUCUUGCUCGUGCUUUGCUUCGAAAAACAAAAAUUCUCAUCUUGGAUGAGGCAACAGCCUCCAUUGAUUUUGAGACUGAUAACUUGGUGCAGACCACAAUCAGGAAAGAGUUCUCUGACUGUACCAUCCUGACGAUUGCUCAUAGACUGCACUCUAUCAUUGAUUCAGAUAGGGUACUUGUUCUAGACUCUGGAAGGAUUACAGAAUUUGAAACACCGCAGAAUUUGAUAUUCCAGAAAGGACUUUUCUUUGAAAUGCUAACAGAAGCUGGAAUACCAGAAGACUCAGUGGCAAAAUAAUAAAAACUUUUAGCUAUAGAUUGAUUAUACUGAAUAAAAAAUAGAUUCGUAUUUUAAAAAUAACAAUGGGGAGAACCGCACAAAGGUAUUUAUGAAAAGUUGCCUGAAGUUAUAAAACCCUAUAUUAUCUGAAGCCUCCUCCCAUUAGAAUCUAAGCCACUAGAAGUGUCAUCCUUUCUUUACAAUCCCUGAAGUGCCUAUCAGUAUGUUUUGUACUCCGUAAAUAAUGAAUAAAAUAUCUGUUGAAUUCUAUUAAGAAAGGGAUCUAAACUCCAACGAAUGGUGCUGGGAAAAUCGGGCAGCUACCUGCAGAAGAAUGAAACUGGAUCACUUUCUUACACUAUGCACAAAAAUAAACUCUAAAUGGAUUUUUAAAAAGACCUAAAUGUGAGACCUAAAACCAUAAAACUCCUAGAAGAAAACAUAGUAGUUUCUUUAACACUGGCCUACCAACAUUUUUCUAGGUAUGUCUCCUUAGGCAGGGAAACAAAAGCAAAAAUAAACUAUUGGGACUAUAUCAAAAUAAAAAGCCUCUGCACAGUGAAGGAAACCAUCAACAAAACGACACAGCAACCUACUGAAUGGGAGAAGAUAUUUGCAAAUGAUAUAUCAGAUAAGGGGUUAAUACUCAAAAUAUAUAAAGAACUUUUACAACUCAACACUCAAAUCAAGUAAUUCAAUUAAAAAGGGGAAGAGGACCUGAAUUGACAUUUUCCCAAAAAGGACAUAGACCUGGCCAACAGACACGUGAAAAGAGGCUCAACAUCCCUCAUCAUCAGGGAAAUGCAAAACAAAACUAGAGUGCGAUAUCACCUCACAUCUGUCAGAAUGGUUAACAUCAAAAAGACAAGAAAUAAUGAGUGUUGGCAAGCAUGUGGAGAAAAAGGAAUCUUAUGCACUGUUGGUGGGAAUGCAAAUUGGUACAGCCACUGUGGAGAGCAGAAUGGAGAUUCCUCGAAAAAUUAAAAAUAGAAUUACCAUAUCAUCCAGUAAUUUUCCUACUAGGUAUUUACCCCCCAAAACCCAAAAGUCUAAUUUGAAAAGAUAUAUGCACCCCUAUGUUUUUGUAGCAUAUAGUCUUCCAGUGUUUUCAUUAUCAAUAACCAAGAUAUAGAAGCAACCCAAGAGUCCACUGAUAGAUGAAAGGAUAAAGAAGAUAUAUAUAAUGGAAUAUCACCCAGCCAUAUAAAAAAUGAGAUUUUGCCAUGUGCAACAAUAUGGCUGGGAGGGUAUAAUGCUAAGUGAAAGAAGUCAGUCAGAGAAGGACAAAGACCAUAUGAUUUCACUCAUAUGUGGAAGUUAAGAAAGAAAACAAAGAUGAGGGCGCCUGGGUGGCUCAGUUGGUUAAGCGACUGCCUUCGGCUCAGGUCAUGAUCCUGGAGUCCCGGGAUCGAGUCCCGCAUCGGGCUCCCUGCUCGGCAGGGAGUCUGCUUCUCCCUCUGACCCUCCUCCCUCUCAUGCUCUCUGUCUCUCAUUCUCUCUCUCUCAAAUAAAUAAAUAAAAUAAAAUAAGAAUUGUUAUGUCUUUUAAAAAAAAAAAAAAGAAAGAAAACAAAGAUGAGAAGAGAAAUUAAAAAAAAAGAAAAAGAUUCAAAUACAGAGAACAAACUGGUGGUUGCCAGAGGGGCGGUGGGAAGGGGGAUGGCUGAAAUAGGUAAAGGGGAUUCAGAGGACACUUACUGUGAUAAGCACUGAGUCAUGCAGAGCAUUAUUGAAUCAUCAUACUGUACAUUUGAAAUUAAUAUAACACUGUAUGUUAACUAUACUUGAAUUAAAAUAAGAGAGGGAUCUAGAUAUUUCAUUGUUAAAAGGUUAUGUUUUAGCCUCUUUACACCUAUAGUAAAUCAACCAGAGACUCUCUGUAAUUUAUUUUUUUAAUUUAUUAUUUUUUGAGACCCUCUGUAAUUUAAAAAAUCUAAUGGGGGCGGCGCCUGGGUGGCUCAGUCGUUAAGAGUCUGCCUUCGACUCAGGUCACGGUCCCAGGGUCCUGGGAUCGAGCCCCGCGUCGGGCUCCCUGCUUGGCGGAGAGCCUGCUUCUACCUCUCCUGCUCCCCCUGCUUGUGUUCCCUCUCUUGCUGUGUCUCUCUCUCUCUGCCAAAUGAAUAAAUAAAAUCUUUAAAAAAAAAAAAUCUAAUGGAAAUCGACAGAAGCCUGGAUAAAUUAUAGUAUAGUCACAGAGUGGAACUCUAUACAGCUAUGAGAAUGAAUGAACAACAGCUACAGGCAACAGCAUGGAUGAAUCUCAUGAAUGUGUUGAGUGAAAGAAGCCAACCACAAAAAAAUAUUAGUAUGUGAUUCUAUAACUCUGUACAAAAGUUUUUUAGAAAGGAAAACUGGUCUAUAGUACUAUUAGAAGUCAGGAUACUGGCUCUUCUUGGUAAGGAAGGAGGGGUAAAGUUUGAAGGGGUACACCGGUGGGCUUCUGCAAUAAUGAUUAUAUUCUGUUUCUUGAUCUGGGCCCAAGUAUUGGUUCAGUUUGUGAAAAUUCAUCAAGCUGUAUACUUAGGAUAUGUGCAGUUUUAUAUAUACAUAUAC